AGUGAACGCUGGCGGUAGGCCUAACACAUGCAAGUCGAACGGCAGCACAGGAGAGCUUGCUCUCUGGGUGGCGAGUGGCGGACGGGUGAGGAAUACAUCGGAAUCUACUUUUUCGUGGGGGAUAACGUAGGGAAACUUACGCUAAUACCGCAUACGACCUACGGGUGAAAGCAGGGGACCUUCGGGCCUUGCGCGAUUGAAUGAGCCGAUGUCGGAUUAGCUAGUUGGCGGGGUAAAGGCCCACCAAGGCGACGAUCCGUAGCUGGUCUGAGUGGAUGAGCAGCCACACUGGAACUGAGACACGGACCAGACUCCUACGGGGGGCAGCGGUGGGGAAUAUUGGACACUGGGCGCAAGCCUGAUCCAGCCAUACCGCGUGGGUGAAGAAGGCCUUCGGGUUGUAAAGCCCUUUUGUUGGGAAAGAAAUCCAGCUGGCUAAUACCCGGUUGGGAUGACGGUACCCAAAGAAUAAGCACCGGCUAACUUCGUGCCAGCCGCCGCCGUAA
rnacentral:rRNA from 1 species